UGAAUACGAGACGCUAAGGCGUCGAAGUAGUGUAUGUCAUACUUCCAAGAAAAGCUUGCACUGUCAUAAGUAAAAAAUGCCUGUACCAUAACCGACACAGGUGGGUAGGUAGAGUAUACUAAGGGGCGCGAGAUAACUCUCUCUAAGGAACUCGGCAAAAUAACUCCGUAACUUCGGGAGAAGGAGUACCUUAUUCUAUAAGGUUGCAAUAACAAGAUCCAAGCAACUGUUUAUCAAAAACACAGGUCUCCGCUAAGUCGUAAGACGAUGUAUGGGGGCUGACGCCUGCCCAGUGCCAGAAGGUUAAAGAAGUCGGUUAGCAUUAGCGAAGCUGGUAACUGAAGCCCUGGUGAACGGCGGCCGUAACAAUAACGGUCCUAAGGUAGCGAAAUUCCUUGUCGGGUAAGUUCCGACCCGCACGAAAGGCGUAAUGAUUUGGAUACUGUCUCGGAGAGGGGCUCGGUGAAAUAGACUUGUCUGUGAAGAUGCGGACUACCUGCACCAGGACAGAAAGACCCUAUGAAGCUUUACUGUAACUUGAAAUUGAAAUUGGACUUUAUUCGCGCAGUAUAGGUGGGAGGUGUUGAUUAUAAUCUUGCGGGAUUAUUGGAGCCAUCAGUGAGAUACCACUCUUGUAAUGUUAGAUUUCUAACUUUGAAUCAUUAUCUGGUCAAAGGACAGUUUCAGGCGGGCAGUUUGACUGGGGCGGUCGCCUCCCAAACGGUAACGGAGGCGUACAAAGGUUUCCUCUGAACGGGUAGAAAUCGUAUCUAGAGUGUAAAGGCAUAAGGAAGCUUGACUGUGAGACCUACAAGUCGAACAGGGACGAAAGUCGGUCUUAGUGAUCUGACGGUACUGAGUGGAAAGGCCGUCACUCAACGGAUAAAAGUUACUCUAGGAUAACAGGCUGAUCUCCCCCAAGAGUUCACAUCGACGGGGAGGUUUGGCACCUCGAUGUCGGCUCAUCGCAUCCUGGGGCGGUAGUACGUCCCAAGGGUUGGGCUGUUCGCCCAUGAAAGCGGUACGCGAGCUGGGUUCAGAACGUCGUGAGACAGUUCGGUCCAUAUCCGGUGUAGGCGUUAGAAUAUUGAGAGGAGCCUUCUUUAGUACGAGAGGACCGAGAAGGACAUACCUCUGGUGUACCAGUUAUCGUGCCAACGGUAAACGCUGGGUAGCUAUGUAUGGAGUGGAUAACCGCUGAAAGCAUCUAAGUGGGAAGCCCACCUCAAGAUAAG
rnacentral:rRNA from 1 species